rfam:Loxodonta africana unplaced genomic scaffold scaffold_46, whole genome shotgun sequence.
GCAGUGGUGGUUCAGUGGUAGAAUUCUUACAUUCCGUGUAGGAGACCCGGGUUUGAUUCCCCGCCAAUGCA